GGAGAAGGCCAGGGGGCCGCAGGGGUUUUUACCCCUGAGGAAGGUCCGGACUCCGCAGGGCAGGCCGCUCGGGGAAACCCGAGGGGGAGCGAUCCCCGGAAAGUGCCACAGAAAACAGACCGCCAGCGGCCCUGCUUUAAGGCAGGGUGCGGGCAAGGGUGAAAAGGUGGGGUAAGAGCCCACCGCCGGGGCCGCGAGGUUCCCGGGCACGGCAAACCCCGGCCGGAGCAAGGCCAAAUAGGGAGGCGCUUGAGGCUGGCCCGGCCGAUGCCUCCGGGUGGGCCGCAAAGAGGAAUGGCCCCCUUAAACACAGAAUCCGGCCUAUGGCCCUCUCCCCCG
rnacentral:RNase_P_RNA from 1 species